rnacentral:tRNA from 1 species
GCCGGAGUGGCGGAACUGGCAGACGCGCACGACUCAAAAUCGUGUGUCCCGAGGGACGUGUGGGUUCGACUCCCACCUCCGGCA